rnacentral:tRNA from 1 species
UCCUCGUUAGUAUAGUGGACAGUAUCUCGCCCGCCUGUCACGGAAGACCGGGGUUCGAUUCCCCGACGGGGAG